UCUGCUACAUUUUUGAGUCAAGUAACGAUUGGCUUUCAUGGCUUCAUAAAUCCAAUGUACGUUACUUUGUAAAGGGUGAGUUCAAUGUCAAUUUAUAUUCCCCCUUCCAUAUUUGAACCAUGAGGAGACUCAACAAGGUUCCAUCUGCAGCUAUUCAACCAGAUUUUCCUACGUGUGUGUUGGUAGAAAGUUAAGGUUGAAGAAGACUUACCAACUCUUUGUCUAGCAUAUAUGGUUUAUGUAAGGGUUGCACAUUUUCAGUUUGAACAUAUAUUGGGGGCUU